GCAGACACAUUCCAGCCAAUCAGCAGCAGACCCUCCCUCCCAGACCCUCCCACUCCUGGACAGCAUCUAUUGUGAAGCUGCAUUCUUAGUGAGCUGUCCAGGAGGUGGGAGGGUCUGGGAGGGAGGGUCUGCUGCUGAUUGGCUGGAAUGUGUCUG
rnacentral:miRNA from 1 species